GAUCCAUUUCAAGUAUCUUAUUUAUCGUCGAAUAUCAUGAAACUUGUUGCACUCAUUUUCAUUUCCAUUUACUUUAUUGGCAUUGUCCAGGCUGUUGAUCGAUGUCUUCAGAAACCUGGAGUAGCAGGCGAUUGCUAUGCCUACCAUAUGAGGUAUUCCUACUAUCCAGA